UGUCAGGGUCCUGGUCAGAGCAAUG
rnacentral:misc_RNA from 1 species